UAUAUAACUACCUGGGGUUGUAGUAUAUUUCAAGGGUUGGGUUGUUCGCCCAUUAAAAUGGUACUUGAGAUGGAUUAAUAACAUCGUGAGAUAGUAA
rnacentral:ncRNA from 1 species